rnacentral:misc_RNA from 1 species
GAACUGUGAGAAUGUAUGGGAGAAUAUAUUGUAUAAAUAGGGAUAGUAUUAUAACAGAUUUCAAUCAAUCAAGAAUUCCAUGAUACCACAAUUACUCUCCCUCUAAUUCUUUCCUCUCUCUUAUUCUUCUCUCUCUCUCUCGUUCUUUCUCAUCUUCUUUUCCUAUUCUGCUUCUUUCCUAUAAUUUAUUCUGAAAUUUAUUUCUAGUUUUCCCUAAUCUUUUUGUUUCUUUAAGUUUUUUCCAAUUUCCAUAUGGUGGGUUGUCAUUGCCAAGAAGUAUAUUUUAACUAUUUUACAAUCUUUU